UGUGUGCAUUUUGGAAUUAGGAGAUGGAAUAGGAGCUUGCUCCAUCCACUCCAGGCAUCGACCUGGUAUUGUAGUACUUCCAGGAACGGUGCACCCCCUCGGGG